CCGAGUUAGGGUUGUCUCGACAGCCCGACCUCCCAACCCUGUGUCUACCGUACCUUGUCGUUGCUUCGGCGGACCGGUCUCGAAGAGACCGCCGGGGACCCGUGCCCUGGAGAGCGUCCGCCGAUGGCCCAACCACACACAAAACUCUUGUACCGAAAACCUGUCGUCUGAAUAACUUGAUGUAUCAAAUCAAAACACA
rnacentral:misc_RNA from 1 species